GGAAAGGAAUGAAAGGCUGUUUUACAAACUUCUCAUUGAUAAUGUUGAGGAAUUGCUCCCAGUUGUCUAUACUCCAACUGGGGGUGAGGCUUGCCAGAAGUAUGGGAGCAUCUUUAAGCGCCCUCAGGGUCUUUACAUAAGUUUGAAAGAAAAGGGCAAGAUUCUUGAGGUGUUGAAGAACUGGCCUGAGAGGACUAUUCAAGCAAUUGUUGUGACGGAUGGUGAGUGAAUUUUGGGACUUAGGGAUCUUGGCUGUCAGGUAGUUAUGUUGUCAAUCAUCGUUUUUAAAUUCUAAACUUAUUAAACAGGGUUCUAUGUAAAUUAUUGGGCUGUAAAAGUGAACUAGCCUUCAUAUGAUGGUGUUGGAUAUGUUUUAAGGGAUGGGGAUUCCUAUGGGGAAAUUGUCUUUGUAUACAGCACUCAGAGGUCUUCGUCCUUUUGUAGUAAGUUUAUUCAAAUAAAACUUGUGGUU